AAGAAAUUAGUUAAUUUAUAACAUUAGUAUGUCAUACUAAAAUUAUUAGAAUGCUAAUAUUUCUUU
rnacentral:tRNA from 1 species